AGCACAUACAUGCACAUGCGUGUGUGUGUGCAAGCAGCAUGUGGACAAAGCAUCCUGUGUGCAUGGAGAUGAAGCAGAGCUCGCCCUGCCCUCAAGGAGCUCCUUGUCCGGUUUGGAGGGUGGAGAACGGAAGAGUGGGCAGAAAGACAUUCCUGCAAAAGACUGAUGCAUGGAAACCAAGGCACACUCUCCCACUCAGGCAAAGAACGGGACAGCUCCCUUAGCAGCCGACCAGCCACCAGCCCAGCUCCCCCAGUGCCUCGCCUUCACUCUCCCUUCUUAUUCCAAUAUCCCCACCCUCCAGCCCCACCCUAGCCCAGUGGGGCAACACCAGGUCCAUGCCCUCUUCCACCUUGAAAGGAACAAUUCUAAAAACCAGAGAGAAAGCCAUCUGGUCAGGCUGCUCAUCAGAAAUAACUGCCAAGUCUGAGAGGUCAUCCUGUCGCUGUCUCCUCUCCCCGGGGACCUGGGGACAUGGGGUGACGGCCAAGGAGUGCCCGUGGCACCUGUCAAUGCACGGACUGCUUGUCUGCAGGCAUUGAUUUCUCUCCUUCCUGACCUUUCAGGAGAGGCGCCCUGAAUUCCAUGCCAGGUCAUUACAGAGCCGGUGGCUGAGACUCUAGGAGACCCAGCCCCACUGGCUGCAGCCCCUUCGGAUGCAUCUAUGAGAGCAGCCUGGCCAUCACCCGCCGGCCUGGCCCGUGCUGUCAGCCGGCCAGAGCGUGUCUGAAUCGAGGAAAGCUGACUGGGGCUCGAUUCACACUGACUCAAGCCGCAAGGCGAGUUUAUGGUUCUUGAUUACACCCAGCAGGGAGGCCUUCUUAGUGAUGAGAGAGAAAAUAUUCAACAACCUGUCUUUGCAAUGUGCUGAUCUCUUGGAGAGAGAGAGUGUGUGUGUAGAGAAAGUGGAGGAGGGGUUUCAGAGGACAGUGAUUUAUGAGUGAAAAGAAGGUCUUCUAAAAAAAAAAUCCAGGGCUCCCCCAAACUGCCUCAACAUUUCCUCUUUCUCAUCGUUGGGUUUUGCCUUGGUAUAACUUUGAGGCACAGUGAUUGCAGCCCUGUGGGCUUCUGCAAGCUGGUGCAAAGCUUUAAAGGAUGCAGGCCCGGAAGGCGCUGUAGUCCGUCCAGCUUUCACUCAGCAUUGCCUCGCAGCUGGGAGAGGUCUUGGACAGCGCUGCCUGCAGAGGCCCGGUGCAGCCCAAUCCCCAAGCCCCUUCUCUCCUUCACACCCUUUUCAUGUUCUGCUUCAUACUUAAACUGCAUCUGCUUGCACUCGGCGCCCAAACAUGGUGCCUGGCUCAUGCUCGGUGUUAAUAAACGAACAAAUGUGUGAACGGGUAUGCAUCUACUCUCCCUUCCCAGGCCGUGCCUCCCAAAACCUCCAUCCAGUAACCUAAACAGAGUCAGCCCUGAUGAUGUGUUGGGAUGAAUGAGUGAGUAAGUAACACGAUCCAUACCCUGUAGAGCCUGGGCACUCUAACUGGGCUGCUUCGCCCUGUGUGGUGUUUCUGAAGCUCACUCUGGUUUUAAACGACACAUCCUAGGCUCCCAGAAAAUGGGAUGCUGGGGGAAGAAGGGGGACUUUUCUGAAGACAUUUUCAGUUACUUCUUAAUAAUUCAUGGGAACUAGAUAUUUAAACCAUUGGAUCUGAAAGCACCUCCCAGCAGUCACUGAGCAUGUGGUGGGGGGAAGGAAAGAGGAGCCCAGGUUUCUCCAAGAACCCCAAUCUCUUCCUUCCCAAAGCAUCAGAAAGGAGUCUAGGGGCUGGCCAUGUUCCCCUUUCUUCUCUCCCUCACGCCCUCUCUCUGCCCCCUUAGCUUCCCUGGGGCUCUCCUGUGGCCCAACUAAGUCUCCUGCCACUUCCCUUUCUGCCUCAGCUCCCUACUUGAGGGAUAAGGAAGGCAUCUCAGAAGAAAGAAGGCACCCUUAUCUUCAUAUAAACAUCAGGAUUCCAGCCUCCAGGAUGCAUCCUGGGUUCCUAUCGCCAAGGCAGGAGGGAGCCAGUGAGUGGAGGGCGGUGAUACCAGGCUUGCCACCACCAGCAGUAGUGAGCC
ensembl:lncRNA